rnacentral:misc_RNA from 1 species
GAUGGGUGGUCACCGUGC